CAGCCGCCGCGGUAAUACGUAGGUGGCAAGCGUUGUCCGGAAUUAUUGGGCGUAAAGGGCUCGCAGGCGGUUUCUUAAGUCUGAUGUGAAAGCCCCCGGCUCAACCGGGGAGGGUCAUUGGAAACUGGGAAACUUGAGUGCAAGAGGGGAGAGUGGAAUUCCAUGUGUAGCGGUGAAAUGCGUAGAUAUAUGGAGGAACACCGGUGGCGAAAGCGGCUCUCUGGCUUGUAACUGUCGCUGAGGCUCGAAAGCGUGGGGAGCAAACAGGAUUAGAUACCCCUGUAGUCCCUGUCUCUUAUAC
rnacentral:rRNA from 1 species